GAGCCCCGGUGGCUCGUCGCUGACCCUCAUUGUGAAGGGUUUGAGGAAAGUCCGGGCAACACAGAGCACCAUAUUUCUUAACGGGAAGCUGUGGGAUGACUGCAGAGGCAACGUGACAGAAAAUAACCGCCCGCCACCGUGCGGGUAAGGGUGAAAAGGUGGGGUAAGAGCCCACCGGGUCCUGUAGCGAUACAGGACGCCGCACGCCUUAUGGGUUGCAAGGUCAAGUAUACCGGCAUUUAAGGGCUGCUCGUCCAUUGCCGGGGGGUAGACUGCUAUAGCGCGCAUGGCAACAUGCCGCACAGAUAAAUGACGAGCCGGCGGGGAAUGCGAGCCAUUAGUGGUGCGUGUUCCCUGGCGACAUAACCCGGCUUACAGCCGGGGCCACCCC
rnacentral:RNase_P_RNA from 1 species